UACGUAGGGGGCAAGCGUUGUCCGGAAUCAUUGGGCGUAAAGAGCGUGUAGGCGGCCCGAUAAGUCCGCCGUGAAAGUCCAGGGCUCAACCCUGGAAUGCCGGUGGAAACUGUCGGGCUGGAGUCCGGAAGAGGAGAGUGGAAUUCCUGGUGUAGCGGUGAAAUGCGGCAGAUAUCAGGAAGAACACCCGUGGCUAAGGCGGCUCUCUAGUACGGUACUGGACGCUGAGACGCGAAAGCGUGGGGAGCGAACAGG
rnacentral:rRNA from 1 species